rnacentral:lncRNA from 1 species
GUAUAUUUUCUUUUAGGAUUUGCAGGAAUUUAUUCAUGAUGUAUCUUGGCAUCCAUUUAUUUGGGCUCAUCCUAGUUGGGGUUUGCCAGCUUUCUUGAAACAAUAGGUAUCUUUCUUCUUCCAUGCUCUACUGGGUGGUAGCAGGUGUUAAGAUAAAAAUAUUUUUUUAGUUGACGAAGUGCUAGUGGGUUACAUUGGUUUCAAGGGAAUGAGGUAUAAAGAAAUGUCUUCCUAAUGAAGGAAUAUCCUGUCUCAUCAUCAAGACAGUGGUUACCUGUGUAGUAAAUUGUGAAAACCCAUUGAGGUGCAUCUUCAGGGUCUGUUCACAGUAUUAGACAUUAGCUUUUAAAAUCUUUCAGCAACUCUGCUGUCACUAUGAGCUACACUUUUUUCUGCUUGUGACACUUUGAAGACUAUUGAGGCAUAUACCAGCAAGAUUUUGCUGAAAGGACCCUGAUAUAGCUGUCUCUUGUGAGGCUAUGCUGGGGCCUGGCAAACACAGAAGUGGAUGCUCACAGUCAGCUAUUGGAUGGAUCACAGGGCCCCCAAUGGAAGAGCUAGAGAAAGUACCCAAGGAGCUAAAGGGGUCGGCAACCCUAUAGGUGGAACAACAAUAUGAACUAACCAGUAACCCCCAGAGCUCAAGUCUCUAGAUGCAUAUGUAUCAGAAGAUGGCCUAGUCGGCCAUCAUUGGGAAGAGAGGCCCCUUGGUCUUGCAAACUUUAUAUGCCUCAGUAUGGGGGGAACGCCAGGGCCAAGAAAUGGGAGGUGGGUAGGGGAGUGGGCAGGGGGAGGGUCUGGGGCACUUUUGGGAUAGCAUUUGAAAUGCAAAUGAAGAAAAUGCCUAAUUUAAAAAAGAAAUUAAAAAAAAAGAAAUUGUAAAAAUAAAUAAAUAAAUAUGAACACUGCUAGGGAAAAAAAAAAAGAGCAUGCCCUUGAAGGAAGGUCAUGCCCUUGAAAGAAGGUUAUGGCACCAUGCUUUCUUCUUCCUCCUCUUAAUUCCAGGUCUGAGGUGAGUACAGCAGGUAUAUGAGAGAUGCAAGCAGGAAGAUGACACCACUCCUGCUUUUAAGAAAUGUGUAACAUGUCUAAUUUUCUGCU